rnacentral:rRNA from 1 species
GCUAAUGCGUGGCCAUCGGCGGCGGAAAUACGGAGGGUGCAAGCGUUAUCCGGGUUUAUGUGGGUGAAAUGGUCCGGAGGCGGACUUGUAAGUCAGUGGUGAAAUCUCAUAGCUUAACUAUGAAACUGCCAUUGAUACUGCAGGUCUUGAGUAAAUUGGAAGUGGCUGGAAUAAGUAGGUUAGCGGUGAAAUGCAUAGAUAUUACGUAGAACACCAAUUGCGAAGGCAGGUCACUAAGAUUUAACUGACGCUGAUGGACGAAAGCGUGGGUAGCGAACAGGAUUAGAUACCCCAGUAGUC